UACAGAGGAGCCAAGCGUUGUCCGGAUUGACUGGGCGUAAAGCGCACGCAGGCGGACGCGCGCGUGGGGUGUGGAAUCUGGCCGCUUAACGGCCAGGCGCCAUCCCAUACGGCGGGUCUGGAGUGAUGCAGAGGGCGGUGGAAUUGCCGGUGUAGUGGUGAAAUGCGUAGAGAUCAGGAAGAACACCAGUGGCGAAGGCGCUCUGCUAGGCCGUAACUGACACUGAGGGACGAAAGCUAGGGGAGCGAAUGGG
rnacentral:rRNA from 1 species